rnacentral:rRNA from 1 species
GACGAACGCUGGCGGCGUGCUUAACACAUGCAAGUCGUACGGUAAGGCCCUUUCGGGGGUACACGAGUGGCGAACGGGUGAGUAACACGUGAGUAACCUGCCCACAACUUUGGGAUUACGCUAGGAAACUGGUGCUAAUACUGGAUAUGUGCUCCUGCUGCAUGGUGGGGGUUGGAAAGCUCCGGCGGUUGUGGAUGGACUCGCGGCCUAUCAGCUUGUUGGUGGGGUAGUGGCCUACCAAGGCGGCGACGGGUAGCCGGCCUGAGAGGGUGACCGGCCACAUUGGGACUGAGAUACGGCCCAGACUCCUACGGGAGGCAGCAGUGGGGAAUAUUGCACAAUGGGCGCAAGCCUGAUGCAGCAACGCCGCGUGCGGGAUGACGGCCUUCGGGUUGUAAACCGCUUUCAGCAGGGACGAAGCUUUUUGUGACGGUACCUGCAGAAGAAGCACCGGCUAACUACGUG